rnacentral:rRNA from 1 species
UAUAAUAUACUUGAUCUUGACUAUCCUACUUGGAUAACUGUGGUAAUUCUAGAGCUAAUACAUGCACCAAAGCUCCGAUUUGACGAGCGCAUCUAUUAGAUUAAAACCAAUCAGGUUUCGGCCUGUUUUUUGGUGACUCUGAAUAGCUUAGCUGAUCGCAUGGUCUUGCACCGGCGACGUGUCUAUCAAGUGUCUGCCUUAUCAACUUUCGAUGGUAGUUUAAAUGCCUACCAUGGUUGUAACGGGUAACGGAGAAUAAGGGUUCGACUCCGGAGAGGGAGCCUUAGAAACGGCUACCACAUCCAAGGAAGGCAGCAGGCGCGCAAAUUACCCACUCUCAGCAUGAGGAGGUAGUGACGAAAAAUAACAAAACCGUUCUCUAUGAGGCCGGUUAUUGGAAUGAGUACAAUUUAAAUCCGUUAACGAGGAUCUAUGAGAGGGCAAGUCUGGUGCCAGCAGCCGCGGUAAUUCCAGCUCUCAAAGUGUAUAUCGUCAUUGCUGCGGUUAAAAAGCUCGUAUUUUGAUCUGCGCUACAGGAUUCGGUCCGUCCAUUGGGCGAGAACUGAACCCCUGAGCUAGUACUGUUGGUUUUCCCUACGUUGCCUUCAUCGGUCGCGUAGGGUGGCUAGCGAGUUUACUUUGAAAAAAUUAGAGUGCUUAACGCGGGCUAUUGCCUGAAUAUUCGUGCAUGGAAUAAUAGAAUAGGAUCUCGGUUCUAUUUUGUUGGUUUUCUGAUCUGAGAUAAUGGUUAAGAGGGACGGACGGGGGCAUUCGUAUCGCUGCGUGAGAGGUGAAAUUCUUGGACCGUAGCGAGACGUCCGACUGCGAAAGCAUUUGCCAAGAAUGUCUUCAUUAAUCAAGAACGAAAGUCAGAGGUUCGAA